UUACGGUCAAAUCACGCUGAAACACCGGUUCUCGUUCGAUCACCGAAGUUAAGCAUCGUAGAGCCAGGUCAGUACUUAGAUGGGGGACCCCUUGGGAACGUGAUUGGUACUGUA